UACGUAGGGCGCAAGCGUUAUCCGGAAUUAUUGGGCGUAAAGAGCGUGUAGGCGGUUCGGUAAGUCUGUCGUGAAAUCCUGAGGCUCAACCUCGGGCGUGCGAUGGAUACUGCCGGGCUAGAGGAUGGUAGAGGCGAGUGGAAUUCCCGGUGUAGCGGUGAAAUGCGCAGAUAUCGGGAAGAACACCCGUGGCUAAGGCGGCUCUCUAGUACGGUACUGACGCUGAGACGCGAAAGCGUGGGGAGCGAACAGG
rnacentral:rRNA from 1 species